ensembl:lncRNA
AUAUAUAUGUAUAUAUAUAUAUAUAAUCUAUAUCUCCUGAAUUAGUUCAUGGAGACUAAAUCCUCUCUGGCAUGUUGCUAUAGUUCAAGUUCUAGCAUCAUUCUUUUGAAAUGUGUGUACAUUUAUGUAUAUUAUGUACACCCAUGGGUUCAUAUACACAUACAUAGGUGUAUAUUAGUUUCUAUAAAACGAUAAGUAUAAAUGUCAACAUAAUAUGAAUAUUUACAGCUAACAAUGCUGUAAAUGUGAAUCUUUUAAUUAUUCAUGUAAACAGCUUGUUAGGCGUACUAUUAUUUGUGGACUAAGUGAAUGUAACAUAGUCGUGUGACUCCAAACAUUGAUUCCUCUAAACGGGUUUAAACAAAACGAGAAAAAGUGUUUGUAAAUGUCUAUGAACUAAUAUUCUGUUUUCUGUGAAGUUCAUGGACCAACGGAAUGAAACUAACAGGAGAUAUAAAGUUAAGCUGUUCAUCACAUGACAUGUAAUCACCAGCACGUUGGUGCAGAUACGAGUAAAUGCUCUUUAUAUAUAUAAACACUUGGCUGCCUCUCGACGGGAGCUCAACUCCGUUUAAAACAAACUCAAAAGAUCUUUAAGAAGAAACAGAGCCAAUCUGUCGCCAACAUGACUAAUCCUGCUGGCAGAGGCUCUGCGCGGUUACCACGGUUACCACGGCAACGAGGGGGGUGUGCCAUCCACGACGCGGUACGAAGGGCUGCAGGAGGAUGCGUUUACCGUCGGCCCAUCCGUGUCAAUAAGAGGAAUACUGAGCUGGAGUCAUCGCAGCCGUAGGGUCACAGCAGCGGCACAUGUUUGUAGUCGUCUCUAAUCAACUAAUGACUUCAUUAAUCCGCUUAAGCUCCUCUUUUGUGGAACCAGCUUCCACUUUCUGUCCAGGGGGCAGAUUCGGUCAGCUCAUCUAAGAUAAAGCUUAAGACUUUCCUCUUUGAUAUGGCUUAUAGUUAGGGCUGGCUCAGGUUAGUCUGGACCAGCCCUUAGUUAAGCUGCUGUAGGCUUAGACUCACAGGUUUCCAUGCAUCAUGGUUCUAUCUGGAUCCUGUUCCUGCCUCCUGCCGUGGCCCUGCUGACACCUGCUGCUGCCAUCAUCAGUAUUAUUACUAUUUUAAAUAUGAAUCAUAUUACUAUUACUGUCCACAUAAACCACCAUUUCCUAAAGGCGUGUGCUUUUCCUCCCCACAGGCUUCUGUGGAUGGUGGUUCUAUGUGAUGGUGGUUCUAUGAGGUGGGGGUUCUAUCUGAUGGUGGUUCUAUGGGAUGGUGGUUCUAUCUGAUGGUGGUUCUAUGAGGUGGUGGUUCUAUCUGAUGGUGGUUCUAUGAGGUGGUCGUUCUAUGUGAUGGUGGUUCUAUGAGGUGGUGGUUCUAUCUGAUGGUGGUUCUAUGAGGUGGUCGUUCUAUGUGAUGGUGGUUCUAUGAGGUGGUGGUUCUAUGGGAUGGUGGUUCUAUCUGAUGGUGGUUCUAUGUGAUGGUGGUUCUCUCUGAUGGUGGUUCUAUGUGAUGGUGGUUCUAUGUGAUGGUGGUGGUCCCUGCAGUGGUCCUGCAGUACACCUGCUCACUACUCCCAUUAUUUGAAUCAUCUCUGUCAUAUGAAUUGAAUGUAUCGUUCAUCUUCCACAUUGUUCAUUCUGUCCUCAUGACAUCAUCGUAGUCUGUCCAUCAGGAGACGGAUCCUCCUCUGACGUUCUCACUGAGGGUUCUUCCCUUUUCUCCCCAUGGAAGGGUUUCAUUGUUUGGGGAGUUUUUCCUGUGAGGGUAUCUGGACAGAGGAUGUCACAUGUGUACAGACUAAUACCCACUGAGGCAAAUUUGUAAUUUGCAAUUUUAGCUCUACAAAAUAAAAUAAAUUGAAUUGAAUUCAUUAUUUUCUAAUUGAUUUGUGACUUGGUCAACGUUUCUCUUAUAUCAUAAUCAAUUAGAUAUUUUUAUAGCUCAACAAUCCAAAAUCCCACAUUUCCCUUAGAGGGAUUUUAGAAUCUGUUUCAGAACAUAGCGACAUGAUGGAGCCUCACGUCUCUCAUCCGAUCUCCUAUAAUAAUCUACAAUAAUACAGGAGAACUCUAUUGGACCGAGCGGAUGUGUUUUAGUGAUAAACCACACAGGUGACCUCAGCAGGUCGCAGGUCUGCCGUGCGUUCAUGGUCCUCUUGAUUGUUCACCCUACAGAUGACUUGUUAGGCCACAAUUAGGCCUGACCUCUGACCUCACCUGCCACCAGAGUGCCAUUCAGGUUCCAUUUAAAAUCAUUUAAAUGCCUUUUUAGUAAUACACCAAUCAUAUAAUAAUACAUACGUCGAGGUUCAAGGAGAAGAGGUUUACAUUACGUUUCCAUGAAAUAUGAGAUCAUUCUGUCAACACAGUUGACAGAAUGAUCCAUAAAGAAGAAAACCCGUCUGUCUUCCCGCAGCCUGACCCUGCUCCGGUGCGCUCUGUUAAUGGGCCCUGAACGCCUCACGGGGCCCUCUCUUUGUCCCCUCCAUCUCACCGCCUCCGUCUCUGCAGAGAAACACCGACGCUGAGAGCACGCAUUAGUCCACAGGAAGCGCCAGCUGGUCACUAAUGUAUGACCCGCCGACCUGUAAUGGAGGUCUGUUUGAUACGCGCACGGGGGCCGCUCUCCAAUCACAGCCCAUUAGACACGAGGGUGCCACACGAAAAUGUAGUACUGCAUCAGUACCUGCAGAAAGCUGUAUGUUGAGGGCUCUUAUUGUGAAAGGACAAAGUGGAUCCGGUCUGCCCGAGGUAGAAGAGAUAAAGAUAAUGUUUCUUUAUACGGACUGAGAGGGAACUUCUAGUUCGUUUUGGUGAAGCUUCAUCUUUAAAAUCUGCAUCCUCUGUAGUGACCAGCAGGGGGCGACUCCUCUGCUCCCAUAGACGUCUAUGAGGAAAUGACUCUACUUCUCUGUAGUGACCAGCAGGGGGCGACUCCUCUGCUCCCAUAGACGUCUAUGAGGAAAUGACUCUACUUCUCUGUAGUGACCAGCAGGGGGCGACUCC